rnacentral:rRNA from 1 species
GACGAACCGUGCGAACGUUAUUCGGAAUCACUGGGCUUAAAGGGCGCGUAGGCGGGCUCGCCAGUCCGGGGUGAAAUCCCACGGCCCAACCGUGGAAGUGCCUUGGAUACUGCGAGCCUCGAGGGGGAUAGGGGCGUGCGGAACUCAGGGUGGAGCGGUGAAAUGCGUAGAUAUCCUGAGGAACACCGGUGGCGAAAGCGGCGCGCUGGGCGUAGUCUGACGCUGAGGCGCGAAAGCGUGGGGAGCGAACAGG